AUCUUCUUCUGUCUGCUGAUCCAUCAUUCUUUCUCUCGCUCUCUCAACAUCCCGAUAACCCCCAACCCCACCCACGAACCCAGGUACACCCAAAACAAUCACCAUUCUCAUCCUUUCGACCUCACGAACUCAAGUCUGAGCCCAUUCUUACUUUCUAGGUCAAGAUUUCAUGGCUUUCAUGUACGAUUUGGUGAAGGUUUGAAGAAGAUUGAAGCUAAAUCCGUAACCUAGAUUCUGGUGAGGUUUUCCGGCGAAUCCACUAGCUUCCCUGUAUUUUUGAGGCCCUCACAGUCACCCAAUCCCAAAAUCUUAGAUGUAUGUGGCGUUUAGGAAACCAGAGCUUUUGCCAACGCCAAGAGUUGUAGCUGGUUCAACCUGAAGAAAGGUUAAUUUUUUUUACAAAGUAAGUUCCAAUUCGUUAGUGGUUUGGCUUUACAGUAAAUACCAAGUGAAUUUUUCAUUUGGUAGAUUUUUUUGAUGGAAUUCACUAACUUGGUAGAUUUAUGUUGUUUAUAGAAUACAUAUGAGUUUUCAUGGUUAUCAAUCGUUCAAUACCUCUAUAUGGUUACAGAGGGUUGAAGGUAAUCUCUAUACAUUUUGUAAAUAGCACUUCCUAGCUAUGGCAUAUCAGCAUUCUCAAUUUUCUCAUGUAAUAUAUGUAUAUAAACACUAUUCUUUAGCACAUACUUUUUCAAAA